ACAAAAUUAAUAGACAGAUUGCUUCCGGAAUUUAAAAGAAGAACAAAUUUUAUAAUUUAUUUUCACCUGAAACUGAUACUUGUGAUAAAAUAUUUUCUUGAACUGUUUGUGAUUACAUUAGACUUUGAAGCAGACUUCUGAAGCAGUUACAUCUAUAUAAUAUUCCACUCCAAGAAGUUAGUGAACAAGUGGUCAGUUGCAAUUUUAUUGAUUAUCAUACUUGUUGCUGAAAAAAUAAUUUCUGUGAUGUUUUUGAUACAAUUACCAUAGGUGGGAUUUAAUAUGUUUUGGAAUUUUGCAUGUUUAACAGUAUUUUUCUGAACCAAAAGUAUUUGAAAUACAGACAAAUUUUCAUUAGUAAAACUAGAGUUAUUUAUGAAUAAGUUGGUAUUUAAACUUUAAAAAUUCCACUGGUUAGAGGUUUGCCAUGUGUAAAAGGCUUGAUUAUUUGAAAAUCCUGACCUGGAUAAAAUAAGUUUUCUUUGAUUUUUGUUAUGCAUUGUUGAGUUAAUGAGAGAGAGAGAGAGAGAGAGAGAGAGAGAGAGAGAGAGAGAGAGAGAGAAUCUUCUCUUAAUUUAUUUCAUUGAUGCAUAAUUGUUCAAACAUCGUGUUAAUAUUUCAUCGUAUGACUACACGUAUUUACAGAAUAAGAAUGGGAAAAGACUACUAAAGUUAACUUUGAAAUCUUUUAAUUUUCCUAGUAUUGUAAAUAGAACUUAAUUUUAUUUUCACAUGUACAAGUUUGUCAAGACAACAAAUGCAUAAUUCACCACUGUGUUAGAUAUUUAAAUGAAUAUAUAUAGUUAUAAAUAUAUAUUUUACAAAAUUAAAAAUAGAAUGG
rnacentral:misc_RNA from 1 species